rnacentral:snoRNA from 1 species
GGCCUGAUGCCACGUCACCUGUAGAUACGGCUUUGACCGGUGAUGCUUUGAUUAGGCCAAAACAGAGUUGGUUUCCGACGUUUCACAUGUUUAUAUGAACCUGGGACUGCAUCUCCAUCGGUCUACAGAGCCGGUUUCUGUGUCUGUGAUUACAUUU